UCAUCAUACAAUUAACUGGCGACCUUGUCAUUUUAAAUAUUUUGAAAAUCAUUAUCAUCAUCAUCAUCAUUUUACAAAUCAACCGCUUUUUCUUAUGAAUCUUUAUUGUGACUGUACACAUCCUACCCUCCCCCGUAUAAAAAAGGUUCGAACCGCAUGUUUUUUUUACAGUUCUAAAAAUUCGCUUUACCAUUCCAAUUAUUUUUGUUUAUUCAUGAUUUGUAUUGGAUGAUUCAAUUGAAACGAAAAUCAUUCCAAUUUGCUCAAUCAACAAAGAAAAACCGUCCGUCAGUCCGUUUGUUUAUAUCCGCGAAAAUUUAAUUCUGCUCUCUUUUCCCCUGUUUCAUUGUUGGUUAUUUGAAAUUCAAAUUCGAAUUUGAAUUUGAAUUUUUAAACCCACAUCAUCAGAAAUUUUUUUUCUGUUUUGUUAAUUUUUGGCCUUAUUUUACGUCAUCAAGAGUGUUAUUGAUUUUUCCGUUUUUUUGAAAAUAUAACUGGACGGAAACAAAAAAAAAAUUUCCAUCAAGAAUGAGAAUCAAAUUAUACGAUUCUGAAACAAAACGACUGAAUCAAUCUUUACUCUGCCAUAUGAUGAUGAUGAUGAUAAUGUGAAUAACGUAGAUUCAAAAAAUAGAAUCGCUACAAUAAUAACAACAACAACAACCUACUACUACUACUACUACUACUAUUAUUAUGAAGCAAUGAAAUCACAAAUUCUUUUGAAUGAAACAUUAAUUCAAAACAUACGAAGAAUCGUUGUUAAAAUUCUUCCAUCAAGUUCGAUGAACUUUUCAUCAUUCAAACUUUUUUUUUUUUUUUGGUCUCUAUAUACAUACAUGAAAGACGAGAAUAUAGAAUACAGAAUUAAGGACGAUCGAAAUAAUAAAUAAUAAUAAUGUGUGUGUGUGUGUUAUGAAUAUUUAUAAUGAAUAUUUGUUGUUGUUGUUGUUGUUUUGGCAACCAAAUCGAAAUUUAUUCUUGUCGUAUUAUUUAUGAUUAUUAUCAUCAUCAUCAUUAUUUCCUGUCUAUAUUUGGUUGGACAUCAUUAAAUGAAUCAUCAGAAUCAGAAUAAUAUAUAAAGAACAAAAAAAAAGAAGAAUAGAAAAAGAAAAG